UGGGGAGUUCACGGUGAGCCCCUUGGGGAAGAUGCGUGGGCCAGAUGUGGUGUUCUCUCUCACAGCCUCCCUGAACUCCAGCGCAGAGCCCUCCCCAUUUCUGAUGCUUGUUAGAGAAAUCCCACAUCAGCUGCUCAGCCUGAGAGCGUGUUGGGUGGCAGGGAGGACGUCCUGUGCCUUUUGUAUUCCGAUGCCUGGCGAGUAUUUCUUGGAGAAGUCAAAUCCCACACAGUAAGAGACAGUUAUGAUUUCAUCUGGAACGUCUGGUUCUGCAGCGUGAAUGUACGAGGGAUCUCUGCAGUGUCUGGAAAGUCUCCAGGGACCCGCUUGGAUGCUGUCUGAAUGUUGGUGCAGGAGAAGGAAGGGCAUGCGGUCUAGACAUCAAGAGUGCGAAGGUAGUAGAACCACCUCAAGUUCCUGGGAACCACUAAGGAUUAUAGCCAGGAGCCCAGAAUCAAAUUAAAUCAUGGAAACCGGAUCCAGCUUGCCCAAGGGUUUGGCAAAAAAAAGGUCAGUGUCUGCUUCUGGAUACUCCCUGCUUUUCCUAUGCCUACUUUAGGGGAAGCACCGAGUUCAGCCCUGGAUCCGUAUCCAAGUGGCUUGGUUCUGUGCCCUGGCUGGUACAGGAGGAUCCAGGCCCUCCGGUCCCCUGCUUCCUUGAGUUCCCUGUUUGCCCCGUGCAGCUUGCCCUGUGAGUCAGGGUGCAAACGCUUGGAUUGCUGUCUGCUCCGAGGGACAGGGUGAGUCUUGUCUAAUGAGGAAGAAGCUGGCGAAUCUGGCUGCUGUUUUGCAAUCUUUUGGGACACGCUUGCAACAGAGGAUUUCACGAUGAGUAGAUUUUGGUCUUUCUAAAAGGAAAAUGCAUCCAUGGAUGUAUUUGUCUCCUGGCUGUGGUUUCUGAAGUCAUAUUAAAUUACACUGAAAGCGCUCUUCUCAUUGUCACCGCUCUUUGACUAUUUAGUUGGAUAUUUAAAAAGAUGAUAAGUGGGUGAAGGCCGAAUGAAUGGCUAUCCCUGCCUUGGGGGAGAUGUUCUCACGGGGGAGGAAAUGACUGCUGGGCAAAGCAGGGCGGUCAUUUCUAGGCAGCUGGAUGGAUAGAAUUCUCUCUCCUGCUGUUCUACUGUCUCCAAGUGUAGCAUUAGCUUUGCCAAAGGAAUGAUUUUUUUUAAUCUCUUGCAAACAAUUCCAUGGCUUUAUUUUAACCGUGAGCCUCAGGAAACCAGGGCCCCAUACGAUGCUCUCUUGGCAUUGAGUUGUGUCUGAGGGCCUCUAAGGCUGGGUCUGGGGUGGCUUGGCAAAACGGUGACGACAGACAGCAGGGCAGGAGCCCUGAAGGACCAAACCACUAGGGAUUCUUCUUUGAGAAUCUUAAGACUAGAAUUUGCAUGGAUCUAGACCAUCAGUCAAUGUAACUCUUUGUUUGAAAGCCUUGCUACUGUUAGCAAAGGAAACAUUUUAAGUAGUGAUGUACUUCAUUUUCUUUUGUUCUCUUAUUUGAAUAGUUUUGUUUCUCUUUGUUGCAGAUUUUUCCUAUCAUCUGUCUGUCUCUAUCAUCUAUCUAUCUGUCUAUCUAUCUAUCUAUCUAUCUAUCUAUCUAUCUAUCUAUCUAUCAUCUUUCUAUCUCAUCUAUCAUUUUCUCUAUCAGCCUACUUCCUUAAUUAUUUAGAUGCAUCUUAUCAUUUAGUUUUGGAGAUUUCAGUGUGGGGGGUGGGUGGCAUUCCGAGCAUACUGCUGAGAAGUUUGAGUAGGUAGCAAAAGUAGGGUUCAGGAAAGGACAGAACAGGCCUGUCGCUAGUUAGGACACUCAGAUUGUCCACAGGAAGCACACUUGCUGGAAAGGAGUGGUCACUUUUGCUGUCUUUUGUGAUGGACAGGGGACAAAUUAAAAUCAAGAGAAGUGGAUGAGGUCAUUUCCCCCUUGCUUGGCUCAAGAUUUCCCUCCAUUCUCAUUGCUGGGAUGUUUCCCCUUGGCUUAUGGCCUUGUUAAUAUCCCUUAGCUGUCUUAUCAAGUUUUUACACCUCUGUGUGAAUUAGUUUAUUGGCCCCUUUUCUUAGAGUCUGGAGAAUGGUAGGGAGAGGAUAGAAAAUAGAGGAAGAGAAAAGAAAGGCAAGCCACUGGGUGUGCUUCAGGUCUACUUUCUGCUUUAAACCUCCUAGCCUGGUACUGCCUGUGGGCUCUGCCUCGGGGCUGCCAGGAGCAAGGCUGCCUGAAUCCUUCAGCAGUUCUCCAAACAGAACCUUCUCUUCCUUAGUAAGAUAUGACAUCUGUUUUAAAUUAGGUCAGUCUUGCAGAUAACCGCGAGACCCGCACCUUCUUUGGAAUAUGUGUGGAAGCCAUAAUGAAAAUGAGGAGAGUAAAUUAUUUCUUGCAUCUUUUAACACAUACUCAAUAUGAUCUUGGUAAAUUCUUCAUCAGGGUCUCUGUGACACCUAAAACAAGAUGGCAUCCAAGCGUCCCUCCUUGUGUGCCCGUCUGUGGUUCAUCAAUGCCUGCAUUUGUCCAUUGAUCAUCACAUCUCUAGGGGUCUGAGAGAAUUUACAAGUCACACUACUGACACAUUACACUGAAAAAUUCCACUUUGAGGGAAGAUACAGAAAAAGAUCUGCUUUUCAUCCAGUAAGUACCCCAACACUUUGAUUGACGGACGAGGUAUCAACUCAACGAGAAAAUUAUGGUUGAUAGAGAUCAUCUCAGGCCCCUGAGUUCCUGCCCCAGGCAUUUUCUAUUACGAUUAGAUUAUGUUUUAUUGAAAUGAGAAUUUGAGAAAGAUAACAUGAGAGCCGUAUUUAAAUCGUAAAUUUCAAUGGGAAAACAUUUACUGAAAACAAGUUCUCUUCUGCGUCUCAUGUGGAGAAGGAUCGUUAUUUAUGUAAUUUCUUCCAUCCUUACAGGACUGCUGCUGCCCCUCAGGAUUCAUUAAACAAGUAAUACAGCCAGUUGUUGAACCUCUGUACAGAAAGUAGAUUACUAUUUGUCUUCUUUGCAGGGACUGCAAAAAUGUACACAUUUCUCCCUUUUUAGUAUUUUUAUAAACAUUAUCUCUUUUUAAAAGAGAGGCUUUUAAAAUUAUACUAGCUUAUUUUAUUGUUUAGACUUACAACAAGCUAAACUUAUAACUAUUUGUCUCUAUCUCUUUGUUUUUCUAUUCCCACACAUAUUUUUGAGAUAGGGUCUCACUAUGUGGCUCUGGCUGGCCUGGAACUCUCUAUGUAGAGCAGUCUGGCCUCAAACUCACGGAGCUCCACCUGCCUCUGCUUCCUGAGCCCAGGGAUUCUCAGGUAUGCACUCCAAUACUCGGCCCGUAUUUUCUUUCAUAUUUUGUAAAAAUGAACUUUAGCCAAAAGAAAAAAAAAAAAAAAAAAAAAAAAAGA